CCCCUACACUUUUCCUCUUGAAUAUAAAAUUUCAAAACACUUGGUAUUGAAAACACGGAACUAAAUUCUCAAUUCAACGACCACAUUCACAAAACUAAGAAUUUAGAAUUUUACUUUGCUUGCCUGUGUAUUUGUUUGCACUGACGGUGAUAAUGAUGAUGAUUCGUUUGUUCGUGGUGAUGUUUGCAGCAGCGACUGAGUCCAACUGUAUUGAAGACGGAAUGGAUACUGAUUUAAGAAAACCAUUUCAAGUUGGCUAUGAGCCGAUCGCAUCUCAAAGAUCGACCAGAGCAUCAACAACAAGAACAACAACAAUAGCAACCAAAAAACAACAGCGAAAGUUCUCACCAAAUGAUCAACAGCAUCAUCUUAGCCUUGUUAUAUAGAGUAUAUCGAGUGUAUUACUCGUUGAAUUCUACAUCGGAAUAUGUACUAUGUGGGCUUUUUGCUCGACGCGAUACAUAGUAUGUUUUGUGGAAUUAAGAAAAGCGCAGAAUUGAAAAAUAAAACAACUGAAUCAAUCCCAAUGGAA